rnacentral:sRNA from 1 species
GACAACUACGCUCACCCUAAAAAAAUAAUCAGAUGAAAA